GGGGAAUUGGCUCAGUGGUAGAGCGUCCGCUUUGCACUUCCUAUCGAGUUCGCCUGCGGAAGGCCCGGGGUUCGAUCCCCCGAUUCUCCA
rnacentral:tRNA from 1 species